rnacentral:rRNA from 1 species
GACGAACGCUGGCGGCGUGCUUAACACAUGCAAGUCGAACGGAAAGGCCUGCUUUCCCUUGUGGAUUGCGGGUACUCGAGUGGCGAACGGGUGAGUAACACGUGAGUGAUCUGCCCCCAACUUGGGUAUAAGCCUGGGAAACUGGGUCUAAUUCCCGAUAGGACUGCAGGGUGGUGCCUGUGGUGGAAAACGAUUUUCUAGUGGUUGGGGAUGAGCUCGCGGCCUAUCAGCUUGUUGGUGGGGUAAUGGCCUACCAAGGCGGCGACGGGUAGCCGGCCUGAGAGGGUGGACGGCCACAUUGGGACUGAGAUACGGCCCAGACUCCUACGGGAGGCAGCAGUGGGGAAUAUUGCACAAUGGGCGGAAGCCUGAUGCAGCGACGCCGCGUGGGGGAUGACGGCCUUCGGAUUGUAAACUCCUUUCGACCGCGAGGAAGCCACCUGGUUGGAAGGGUGGUGACGGUAGUGGUAGAAGAAGCACCGGCUAACUACGU